rnacentral:misc_RNA from 1 species
AACGCACGAGACCUGCGGACCUGCGGAAGGAUCAUUACCGAGUUUACAAAACUCCCAAACCCUUUGUGAACCUUACCUAUCGUUGCUUCGGCGGGACCGCCCCGGCGCCCUCGCGGCCCGGAACCAGGCGCCCGCCGGAGGCCCCAAACCCUCAUGUCUUUAGUGGUUUCCUCCUCUGAGUGACAUAAACAAAUAAAGUAAAAACUUUCAACAAUGGAUCUCUAGAUCGGAAGAGCACAC